rnacentral:sRNA from 12 species
AAACGUUGAAGCAACGACUGUUCCAAGAUGCAGCCUUUGUGGAGUUUUAUAAGGGUUUGACAUAUACCGCAACUUGGAUAGAUUUAUUAAUCGAAAGAAAAUGUCUAUU